UGUCAUCGAUGCGCUACUUCAAAGAUGUGAGGAAAAGAACAUACACCUGCGAGUAGUCUUAGACAUUGCCUGUGUUAUUGCCUCACAUUUGCAGAAAUCAGGGGAGGGCAUAUCACACAACAUUGCCUUGGCCGUACCAGCAUUUCAUGUUUAUGGACACAAAUUGCCCUGCCAGAUCAAGUACAGUACCAGAUGGCUUGAUGGGUUUGGGCUCACAGACGGGGAAGGAAUGGAAAGGCUGUGGUCUUUCCUCCAAAGAUUUGCCAGAGUCACAAAGGAGAUGACUCCAUCUCAUCGCCUUGACCUACUGACUGAUGCCCUUUUGCAUUAGGGACGGAGGAAAUCAACUGACCUAGGUGCAGCUACUGCAAAGAGUAGACAAAGCAGAGAAAAUAUUGAUUCUUGCUCAGGAAGAUAUCUCAUGUCAUCAGAGAGGCACCAGUGUUGAUUUCUGAAGGAGACAUGGAGAGAUGGAAAAAAGCUAGCCCAACAGAAACCAAUAAGUAAGGAACUGAAGUUAAAGUCUUAAAUACUACACUGUCUGUAGAUGGAAAAGGGACUACAUCAUCAGACUGAUUCAGUUCUACAAGUUCAAAAUUGAGGACUCUGCUGAACAUUGAGGAAAAAAUACCGUAUCGGGAGAAGAUGGCAAGAGUCUGAUUCAAACUUCCAGUCUACCCUUAAAGAUGUGGACCGUGAGCUCAGAGUCCAAAUGCAAGGCUAGAACUGAAUCAAGGGAGAGAGCAGUCGUCCUCCACCAGAGAAGAAUAUAUCCAGCUUUGCUUCAGAUGGGCAGGGCAUUGCCAUUAGACUCUCCAAGCAGGUAGCCAAUUGAUUUUCAGGAAUCAUGUGAUCCCUCUUGGCAUGUCUACUUCUGCUUUAAUGACACUAUUGAAGAAGAUGAUGUUUCGAGGAGUCUAAAAAGGCGAGGGAUUGAUGCCUUACAUAUGAAGACUCGGGCAGCUGAGAAAAAGUGCAUGCUUUACCAGGAAAUGAGAAGUCUAAGGGGCCAGUCACACCAAAAGCGUUUAUGGCAGUUGCAGGCGCCUUUUUUGAAUGAUAUUCUAUGGGCAGGGCGCGUUUGCGCGCUGUUUAUGAGCGCCUUGCUGUUUUUUGCCGCCUGCCGCGCACGCAUUUUUGAAGGAGCGCUGAGAGCGGAGAAGCGCCCGACGUCAUUCGCGUCUUUCCAUUGUCCAAUCGAAUGAGGGGAGAGGCGGGCCUUACGUUGUGGUGAGUGAAGUUUACAGUUGCUUUGAAGAACCGGAAUCCACUCGCUCACUCUCUCCUGCGUGUUUGUGCACCCCUCACCCUCAAACAAGGUCAGAGCAAGCGCCCUCUUUUUAAAGUUUCUGCUAAUAUGACAGUUAACAGCAAAAGAGCGCUCACGCUUCAAUAUUUGAUUGACAAGACAGCUGACUCGGUGGUUGCUUAGCAAUAUGAAAAGCUGCGUCGCACUGCUCUUUUUUUAAAAAAAGGCAGUGCGUCGCGCCUUGCGUUUGCAAGCGUUUAAAGCGCUUUUGGUGUGACUGGCCCCUAACUGAACACCCCAUCAGCAGCAGGCCUCUAACAUUUGUGCUCUAACAUCAAAGACACUGAGCAGCCUGGUGCAAAAGCUGCUCUCAUUCAACACCU